rnacentral:rRNA from 1 species
CUCAGAACGAACGCUGGCGGCGCGUUUAAGCAUGCAAGUCGAACGGUAACUGUCCUUCGGGACAGCUAGAGUGGCGGACGGGUGAGUAACACGUAGGUGAUCUGCCCUUGAGUUGGGGAUAGCCCAUGGAAACAUGGGGUAAUACCGAAUACGCUCCGGAUGCUAUAGCAACUGGAGGAAAAGCGCUUCGGCGCUGCUCGAGGAUGAGCCUGCGGCUGAUUAGUUAGUUGGUGGGGUAACGGCCUACCAAGGCGACGAUCAGUAGCCGGCCUGAGAGGGUGAACGGCCACACUGGGACUGAGAUACGGCCCAGACUCCUACGGGAGGCAGCAGCUAAGAAUCUUCUGCAAUGGACGAAAGUCUGACAGAGCGACGCCGCGUGGGUGAAGAAGGCCGGAAGGUUGUAAAACCCUUUUCUAUUCGAGGAAUAAUCGCAGGAGGCAAUGCCUGCGAGAUGACGGUAGGGUAGGAAUAAGCCCCGGCCAAUUACGUGCCAGCAGCCGCGGUAACACGUAUGGGGCGAGCGUUGUUCGGAAUCAUUGGGCGUAAAGGGCGCGUAGGCGGAUAUGCAAGCUUGGUGUGAAAGACCGCAGCUCAACUGCGGGACCGCGCUGAGAACUGCAUGUCUAGAGUUCAAGAGGGGAAGCUGGAAUUCCAGGUGUAGGGGUGAAAUCUGUAGAGAUCUGGAAGAACAUCAGUGGCGAAGGCGAGCUUCUGGCUAUGAACUGACGCUGAGGCGCGAAAGCGUGGGGAGCAAACAGGAUUAGAUACCCUGGUAGUCCACGCUGUAAACGAUGUGCACUAGGUGUUGGGCCGCUGAAGGCUCAGUGCCGUAGCUAACGCGUUAAGUGCACCGCCUGGGGAGUAUGCUCGCAAGAGUGAAACUC